GGCCGAUGGCAGAUUAGCUAGUUGGUGGGGUAAAGGCCUACCAAGGCGACGAUCUGUAGCUGGUCUGAGAGGACGACCAGCCACACUGGGACUGAGACACGGCCCAGACUCCUACGGGAGGCAGCAGUGGGGAAUUUUGGACAAUGGGCGCAAGCCUGAUCCAGCAAUGCCGCGUGUGUGAAGAAGGCCUUCGGGUUGUAAAGCACUUUUGUCCGGAAAGAAAACCGCCUGGCUAAUAUCCGGGCGGGAUGACGGUACCGGAAGAAUAAGCACCGGCUAACUACGUGCCAGCAGCCGCGGUAGUACGUAGGGUGCAAGCGUUAAUCGGAAUUACUGGGCGUAAAGCGUGCGCAGGCGGUCCGCUAAGACAGAUGUGAAAUCCCCGGGCUUAACCUGGGAACUGCAUUUGUGACUGGCGGGCUAGAGUAUGGCAGAGGGGGGUAGAAUUCCACGUGUAGCAGUGAAAUGCGUAGAGAUGUGGAGGAAUACCGAUGGCGAAGGCAGCCCCCUGGGCCAAUACUGACGCUCAUGCACGAAAGCGUG
rnacentral:rRNA from 1 species